rnacentral:rRNA from 1 species
GACCUGGCCGGGCGGUCUGCCUCACGGUAUGUACUGUCUGGCUGGGCCUUACCUCUUGGUGAGCUGGCAUGCCCUUCACUGGGUGUGUCAGUGAACCAGGACUUUUACUUUGAGAAAAUUAGAGUGUUUAAAGCAGGCUUACGCUUGAAUACAUUAGCAUGGAAUAAUAGAAUAGGACUU